rnacentral:rRNA from 1 species
AUUGAACGCUGGCGGCAUGCUUUACACAUGCAAGUCGAACGAAGCAUAAGGAAGCGGUUUCUUCGGAAUGAAUGAACUUAUGACUGAGUGGCGGACGGGUGAGUAACGCGUGGGUAACCUACCUCAUACAGGGGGAUAACAGUUAGAAAUGACUGCUAAUACCGCAUAAGCGCACAGAACCACAUGGUUCGGUGUGAAAAACUCCGGUGGUAUGAGAUGUACCCGCGUCUGCUUAGCUAGUUGGUAAGGUAAUGGCUUACCAAGGCGACGAUCAGUAGCCGACAUGAGAGGGUGAUCGGCCACAUUGGGACUGAGACACGGCCCAAACUCCUACGGGAGGCAGCAGUGGGGAAUAUUGCACAAUGGGGGAAACCCUGAUGCAGCGACGCCGCGUGAAGGAUGAAGUGUUUCGGCAUGUAAACUUCUAUCAGCAGGGAAGAAAAUGACGGUACCUGACUAAGAAGCCCCGGCUAACUACGUGCCAGCCGCCGCCGUAA